AUGAAACCCAGGAUUGGUUGCACUGUUGUAUGUUUAGCAUUGGUAUUAUUGGCUGUAUUGUUGCUAUUGCAAGAGAUCUCAAGGCUUUUGUUUGCAUUACAGUCAAUGAGGAGACUUAGAAAAAGUUUUGCAGGGAUACUAUUGUGUAGCUGGGAUCAAGGGACCGGGACAUGUAUAAGAGCCGAAGCUUGCUCUGUAUGUAUUUUUAGAAUAUGA